rnacentral:lncRNA from 10 species
AGAGAGGCCAGCCCCCAUUCCUGGGGCUCCCCGAGGAGCUGGCUUUCAGCAGGGUUUAGAGCAGCACGAAAAGUGAACUGACCCUGGAAAAAUGGUAAUCUUCUCAUCUGUGAGGAUAUGGAACCCCAACCUCUUCCUGGACACCUGAUGAUCUGCUUGUGAUGGGCUCAGAGUCUUGAAACACAGAACUAUGAGCUCAUCUCAUAUCCCAAUCCAGCAGCAUGGAAACCUCAGACUGCAAGGCCCAAGACUGGCACUUGUUCUCUCCCAACUCUUUUCUUUCUCUCUCUCCUUUCUUUUAUCCCUUAAUUCCUUCUUGCUUCCUUCCAAGAUUUAUACUAUUACCUUUUAGGCAAAACAUCCUGAACAUGUAAAAUAAACUAAUUAAAAUCAA